AUACUUGUUUUUCUUCUCGUCGCAGUUGGACUUCUUGUGUUAUUAGCAUUUCGCAAAGAAACAGUCCGACAUAUCAGAAAUGUUUUCAACAUUGAUCGAUUUGAGGCGAAUGUAAAUAACGAUAUAGGUGACUUGAAUAUUCCUUUAGCGGAUGUUGUGCGUACCGCAUUGAACAACAACGACGCUGCUGAUUUAGAAGAUAGUUCGGAAUCUGGAGACAGUUAACGGAAGUCCAAGGCUUCGAUCUUUAAACUGACCACAUUAUGAUAUUAUAGCCUUUUGCCUAAAUAAGCAAUAAGUGACGUUUUGUUAACUGUUGACAAGCGCUAUAUGUCUUUCAAUAGUUAGGAUGGCGAGAAUCUGCUUACCUCUUCCAAGUCAUAUUUGUCGAUUCUGGUCACUUGUAAUGGCAGUUAAAGUGUGAUCAGAAUUAGAGAUUCCGUGAGAUACAAAUAAUAUGUCAUAAGGCACUACCUCAAUCGGAAUCGAUCAGACUUCAACU